AUUCCGCUGACGAGUCCUAAAUAAAACGAAACGCACGUCAAACUGGAU
rnacentral:hammerhead_ribozyme from 1 species